UACGUAGGGUGCAAGCGUUGUCCGGAAUUAUUGGGCGUAAAGAGCUCGUAGGCGGCUUGUCGCGUCGACCGUGAAAACUUGGGGCUCAACCCAAGCCUGCGGUCGAUACGGGCAGGCUCGAGUUCGGUAGGGGAGACUGGAAUUCCUGGUGUAGCGGUGAAAUGCGCAGAUAUCAGGAGGAACACCGAUGGCGAAGGCAGGUCUCUGGGCCGAUACUGACGCUGAGGAGCGAAAGCGUGGGGAGCGAACAGG
rnacentral:rRNA from 1 species